GGCGGUUCUCAGGUGAUGCACCCUGGAAUCGGGCUCCCUCCUCUCUGGUUCCGGGUCCGUCACCUGAGAACCGCA
rfam:Myotis brandtii contig177611, whole genome shotgun sequence.